UUGCUGGCGACCGGCGCACGGGUGAGUAACACGUAUCCAACCUGCCGAUGACUCGGGGAUAGCCUUUCGAAAGAAAGAUUAAUACCCGAUGGCAUAGUUCUUUCGCAUGGUAGAACUAUUAAAGAAUUUCGGUCAUCGAUGGGGAUGCGUUCCAUUAGGUUGUUGGCGGGGUAACGGCCCACCAAGCCUUCGAUGGAUAGGGGUUCUGAGAGGAAGGUCCCCCACAUUGGAACUGAGACACGGUCCAA
rnacentral:rRNA from 1 species